rnacentral:rRNA from 1 species
AUGGCCCAAGGAAUCGGGCCCACUUAUCCUGACGAGCCAAACCCAAGCAAAAACUUCAUCUCGGAGCUUGAAAUUUUGAGGGCGCCUGUGCCAUCCGGCGACAGGCAUCGGGAAGAAACUGUCACAAGAACGGGAGGCAGGAGAGGAUGGAACGCGCCAGCCGAAGGCAUCGCAAAGAUCCAUGUGAACAGAGGACUCGCAAGGAAUGGGAGACGGGGGGCGGCAGCCUCGAUUUGUCGGGAUCAUACUGGCAAAUACCUUGGUUCGUUGGCUAUGGUCUUCGAUCUAAUUACGGACCCUCCUACGCUGGAAGCGCUUGCUUGUAGAGAAGAUUUGUCUCUUGCACUCGAUUUAUCUUUGGAUCGAGUUGCUAUCGCAUGUGACUGUAAAACACUGGUGGAUGAGAUAGAGAAAGGUUCGGAUGGGAAAUAUGGUAUGGUCAUUAAGGAGAUUGUUGCAAGGGCAGGGGAACUUACUAGCUCGCACACAUCCAUGUCGGCAUGCAUAUUGGGUUUAGGGGCAUGUGUUUUUCUCCCGUUGCGACGCACGGACAUAUUUGCUAGUGAAGAGUAA